UCAGAAAGCACUUGUGAUAAAUAACGCCUCUACCAUUGCAUCUCUCAGGACAGAUCACUGAUGCUGUCUCCAGAGGAAAAAAAAAAAGUAAAAACAGAUGGAGCCUAGCAAGGGCUGCAGAGUCCAGCUGUUCUACAGCUGUGAAUCUCCCAGAAUUCAUCUCCCAUGGUAAUAGCCUAAUCCCAGGAAUUGACUAAUGCCAUUCCUACAUGACUGUUGGCUGGAACAUGUGCCUGACCAUGUGAAAAUUAGAGUCUGAAUUGCAAUAGAAUAUAUAACUAAUAGAAAUGACAAAAAAAAAAAAAAAAAAAAAAACUAAAAUAAUUAGUAACUUUUUAUGUUUCUGUUUUAGGUUUCUGUGUUUAGAUGCUUUUGACGUUUUAGUAAAUGCACUGUAAGCCUUUAGAAAGUACUAUAUAUCAAUUUCUACUAUACUGUCUGCAGCUACCUCUAGCCCUAGAACUUAUCGUAGUUCUGUGAGACUGAAGAUAAUAAUUCAACAUGUUAUUGUAUAUGAACUUGUGAUAUAGAUGACUUUGAUUUACUAUAAAUCAUUAGGAUUUUAUCUGAUUGACGUUGGCUCUUUGAGAAACAGUUAAAUUAUGGACUUGCCAGGUAAAAAUAUGGACUUUGCAUAACCACAACAAAAAACACCAAAACAUUGCUAAUUAAGAAGUUUAUAGGAGUGAGAGGGACAGAGAAAGUUACUUUGGUAAUGUCGUCUUUAGGCUGGGUGAUUUGCUUUGUGCAGGAAAGGAACAACUGUUGCUGCUAAUUGUGAGAUGCUCUAAUUCCCAUUGACAACAGAAUAUACUUUCAAAAGUUUUAAACUUGAAAACAGAGUUCAAUCUAUUAAGGAAAUACACACAUCAAGACAAUCAGUCCCAACCGAACCAUGUUUCAUUUAAUAUUAAGUUAUAAAUAGCUCUUUAGAGCACAUAAUACCUGUUUAUUAUUAUAUUUUGUGGUAUCAAAGUUCUUUAUGAUUUUCUGUGUUUGUGAACUUUCCUAAAUAGUCAAAUACAGAAGCACAUUAUGUUUUGUUUCUUGUUUUUCAUCUGUGCUUUAGCCAAUGACUGUUUCUUUCCAGAUUCAUGAUAGUCACAGAUGUUCUUUUUCCUAUCUAUCCAUGUGUGAAAAUAUUGGUAUAUGGGUAGUUUUGGAUCUCUUUUUUCCCAGAACAAUUACUGAAAUUAUUUAUAUAUAUGAUUAAUGAUUAAACAUUGUCCUAUUUUUGUGUUUUUGCAAUGUCUGCUUUAUACAGGAACCCAGUUUUGAAGUUGAUGGGAUAGAGUUUAAU